rnacentral:rRNA from 1 species
UACAGAGGGGGCAAGCGUUGUUCGGAAUUACUGGGCGUAAAGGGCGCGUAGGCGGCCUGUUAAGUCGAACGUGAAAUCCCCGGGCUCAACCCGGGAACUGCGUCCGAUACUGGUAGGCUUGAAUCCGGGAGAGGGAUGCGGAAUUCCAGGUGUAGCGGUGAAAUGCGUAGAUAUUGGGAGGAACACCGGUGGCGAAGGCGGCUACCUGGACCGGUACUGACGCUGAGGCGCGAAAGCUAGGGUAGCAAACAGG